ACGGAGGGUGCAAGCGUUAUCCGGAAUCAUUGGGUUUAAAGGGUCCGCAGGCGGGCUAAUAAGUCAGUGGUGAAAUCCUACAGCUUAACUGUAGAACUGCCAUUGAUACUGUUAGUCUUGAAUUCGGUCGAGGUAGGCGGAAUGUGUAGUGUAGCGGUGAAAUGCUUAGAUAUUACACAGAACACCGAUAGCGAAGGCAGCUUACCAGCCCUGAAUUGACGCUGAGGGACGAAAGCGUGGGGAGCGAACAGG
rnacentral:rRNA from 1 species